rnacentral:ncRNA from 1 species
ACCGAGGGCCGUGACUGGCGCGCUGGGAUGGACAAACCAUCGGGGAGCGGCCCCCGGACCCGGCUGAACCCCGGGGACCGGAACCGUGCCGUGCGCCUGGGCCGUACCG